rnacentral:rRNA from 1 species
UACGGGGGGGGCAAGCGUUGUUCGGAAUUACUGGGCGUAAAGGGCUCGUAGGUGGCCAACUAAGUCAGACGUGAAAUCCCUCGGCUUAACCGGGGAACUGCGUCUGAUACUGGAUGGCUUGAGAUUGGGAGAGGGAUGCGGAAUUCCAGGUGUAGCGGUGAAAUGCGUAGAUAUCACUUGGAACGCCAAUGGUGAAAACAGACUGCUGGGGGUGUGCUGACGCUGAGACACGAAAGCCAGGGGAGCAAACGGG